rnacentral:ncRNA from 1 species
AAUCUGAAUGUUUAAAUAAAACAAAGCAUUGUGAUGGUCCCUGCGAAUGCUAACACAAUGUGAUUUAUGCCCAGUGCUCUGCAUGUCAAAGUGAAGAAAUUCAACCAAGCAUGAGUAAAUGAUGAGAGUAACUAUGACUCUCUUAAGGUAUCCAUAUGCCUCGUCAUCUAAUUAGUGACACAAAUGAAUGGAUUAAUGAUAUU